rnacentral:rRNA from 1 species
AUUGAACGCUGGCGGCAGGCCUAACCCAUGCACGUCGAACGAGUGGCGGACGGGUGAGUAAUGUCUGGGAAACUGCCCGAUGGGGGGGGAUAACUACUGGACACGGUAGCUAAUACCGCAUACCAUCGGAUGUGCCCAGAUUGGAUUAGCUAGUAGGUGGGGUAACGGCUCGCCUAGGCGACGAUCCCUAGCUGGUCUGAGAGGCUGACCAGACACACUGGAACUGAGACACGGUCCAGACUCCUACGGGAGGCAGCAGUGGGGAAUAUUGCAAAAGGGGCGCAAGCCUGAUGCAGCCAGGCCGCGUGUAUGAAGAAGGCCUUCGGGUUGUAAAGAACUUUCAGCGAGGAGGCGUUACUCGCAGAAGAAGCACCGGCUAACGCCGGGCCAGCCGCCGCGGUAAUUC